ACGAACGCUGGCGGCGUGCUUAACACAUGCAAGUCGAACGGAAAGGCCCUGCUUUUGUGGGGUGCUCGAGUGGCGAACGGGUGAGUAACACGUGAGUAACCUGCCCUUGACUUUGGGAUAACUUCAGGAAACUGGGGCUAAUACCGGAUAGGAGCUCCUGCUGCAUGGUGGGGGUUGGAAAGUUUCGGCGGUUGGGGAUGGACUCGCGGCUUAUCAACUUGUUGGUGGGGUAGUGGCUUACCAAGGCUUUGACGGGUAGCCGGCCUGAGAGGGUGACCGGCCACAUUGGGACUGAGAUACGGCCCAGACUCCUACGGGAGGCAGCAGUGGGGAAUAUUGCACAAUGGGCGGAAGCCUGAUGCAGCAACGCCGCGUGCGGGAUGACGGCCUUCGGGUUGUAAACCGCUUUCGCCUGUGACGAAGCGUGAGUGACGGUAAUGGGUAAAGAAGCACCGGCUAACUACGUG
rnacentral:rRNA from 1 species